rnacentral:rRNA from 1 species
AUGGCCAUGCACCCUCUCUCUCAGGGGCACCCACAGGCCUGGCCAUGGGGGGUAGCCAUGUACACGAACCUACACUACCACCACCAGUACGAGAGGGAGCACCUGUUCGAGAAACCCUUGACGCCCAGUGAUGUGGGCAAGCUCAACAGGCUGGUGAUUCCCAAGCAGCACGCGGAGAGGUACUUCCCCCUGAACGGCGGCGACUCCCCCGGCGAGAAGGACCUGCUCCUGUCUUUCGAGGAUGAGGCUGGCAAGCCGUGGCGGUUCCGGUACUCGUACUGGACGAGCAGCCAGAGCUACGUGCUCACCAAGGGCUGGAGCAGGUACGUCAAGGAGAAGCAGCUCGACGCCGGAGACAUCGUGCACUUCGAGAGGGUGCGCGGCCUUGGCACAGGCGACCGGCUCUUCAUCGGCUGCAGGCGUCGUGGCGAGAGCGCGCCAUCACCUGUACGUGUACCUCCGCCCACUCUGAACGCCGGGGAGCAACGGCCUUGGAGCCCGAUGUGUUACAGCACGUCAGGAUCAUACCCUACCAGCCCUGCCAAUUCCUACGCCUAUCGCCGCUCGGUGGAGCAAGAUCACAGCGACAUGCUGCAUGCAGGCGAGUCGCAGAGAGAGGCAGACGCCAAGAGCAGCACGGCAUCGGCGCCGCCGUCGAGACGUCUCCGGCUGUUCGGCGUCAACCUCGACUGCGGUCCGGAGCCAGAGGCAGAGGCAAUAACGCCAAUGUACGGCUACACCCACCAGAGCCCCUACGCUGCAGUGGCCACGGUGCCAAGUUACUGGGGCAGUUCAUAA